UCCCUCAUGGCUCAGACGGUAAAAGCAUCUGUCUGCAAUGCAGGAGACCCAGGUUCUAUCCCUGGGUUGGGAA
rfam:Ovis aries breed Texel chromosome 13, whole genome shotgun sequence.